rnacentral:rRNA from 1 species
AAUCAAGCGCGAGAAGGGCGUUUGGUGGAUGCCUUGGCAGCAAGAGGCGAUGAAGGACGUGAUACUCUGCGAUAAGCUUUGGGGAGCCGAGAAUAGGCUGUGAUCCAAAGAUCUCCGAAUGGGGCAACCCACCUGACAGUUCGAUAUAAUUGCCCACGGGCAGCCUAUAUCAAGCUGAACCAGGUACUUUGAGGCUGAAUACAUAGGCUUCAAAGAGCAAACCCGGGGAACUGAAACAUCUAAGUACCCGGAGGAAAGGAAAUCAAUUGAUACUCCCCCAGUAGCGGCGAGCGAACGGGGACCAGCCGAGCCUUGAGAGUGAAUGGAAUGGUCUGGAAAGGCCGACCACAGCGGGUGACAGUCCCGUACAUGAAGCUCGAUGGGACGUAUUAAGUAGGGCGGGACACGUGAAAUCCUGUCUGAAGAUCGGGGGACCACCCUCGAAGGCUAAGUACUCCUUGCUGACCGAUAGCGAACCAGUACCGUGAGGGAAAGGUGAAAAGCACCCCGACGAGGGGAGUGAAACAGUACCUGAAACCGAGCGCCUACAAUCAGUCGGAGCUUCCUCGUGAAGUGACGGCGUACCUUUUGUAUAAUGGGUCAUCGACUUGGUCUAUCCAGCAAGCUUAAGCCGAUAGGUGUAGGCGCAGCGAAAGCGAGUCUUAAUAGGGCGUCGAGUUGGAUGGAUCAGACCCGAAACCGAGUGAUCUAGGCAUGACCAGGAUGAAGGUACGGUAACACGUACUGGAGGUCCGAACCCACACCUGUUGAAAAAGGUCGGGAUGAGUUGUGCCUAGGGGUGAAAGGCCAAUCAAACUCGGAGAUAGCUGGUUCUCCGCGAAAUCUAUUUAGGUAGAGCGUCAUCCGAAUACCCCGGGGGGUAGAGCACUGGAUGGGUAAUGGGGCCCCACAGGCUUACUGAUCCUAACCAAACUCCGAAUACCCGGGAGUACUAGAUGGCAGACACACUGCGGAUGCUAACGUCCGUAGUGAAGAGGGAAACAACCCUGACCUCCAGCUAAGGCCCCCAAUUCAUGGCUAAGUGGGAAAGCAGGUGAGACGGCCAAAACAACCAGGAGGUUGGCUUAGAAGCAGCCAUCCUUUAAAGAUAGCGUAACAGCUCACUGGUCUAAUCAAGCUGUCUUGCGGCGAAGAUGUAACGGGGCUCAAGCCAUGAGCCGAAGCUGAGGAUGCCGUAAGGCAUGGUAGCGGAGCGUAGUGUGACACAGGAUCUAUCCUCUUCUGCAUCCCUCGGGAUGCAAUGGAGGACAAGAUCCUUUCUGUGAAGCCGGGGCGUGAGCCAUCCGGUGGAGAGAUCACUAGCGAGAAUGAUGACAUGAGUAGCGACAAACAGGGUGAGAGACCCUGUCGCCGAAAGUCCAAGGGUUCCUGCUUAAAGCUAAUCUGAGCAGGGUAAGCCGGCCCCUAAGGCGAGGCCGAAAGGCGUAGUCGAUGGGAACCAGGUCAAUAUUCCUGGGCCAGGAGAUGGUGACGGAUUGCGGAUGUUGUUCGACCUUAUCGGAUUGGUCGGGCCGCUGAGCAGUCCCUGGAAACAGCCCUCCAUGAGACCGUACCCUAAACCGACACAGGUGGACUGGUAGAGCAUACCAAGGCGCUUGAGAGAACGAUGUUGAAGGAACUCGGCAAAAUACCUCCGUAAGUUCGCGAGAAGGAGGCCCGGGUUCAAGGCAACUUGGAUCCGGGGGCACAAACCAGGGGGUGGCGACUGUUUACUAAAAACACAGGGCUCUGCGAAGUCGCAAGACGACGUAUAGGGUCUGACGCCUGCCCGGUGCCUGAAGGUUAAAAGGAGAGGUGAGAGCCUUGAAUUGAAGCCCAGGUAAACGGCGGCCGUAACUAUAACGGUCCUAAGGUAGCGAAAUUCCUUGUCGGGUAAGUUCCGACCUGCACGAAUGGCGUAACGACUUCCCCGCUGUCUCCAACAUCGACUCAGCGAAAUUGAAUUGCCUGUCAAGAUGCAGGCUUCCCGCGGUUAGACGGAAAGACCCCGUGCACCUUUACUACAGCUUCACACUGGCAUCAGGCAUGUGAUGUGCAGGAUAGGUGGUAGGCUUCGAAGCAGGGACGCCAGUCCUUGUGGAGCCAUCCUUGAGAUACCACCCUUCGCCUGCUUGAUGUCUAACCGCGGUCCCUCAUCGGGAUCCGGGACCCUGUGUGGCGGGUAGUUUGACUGGGGCGGUCGCCUCCUAAAUCGUAACGGAGGCGCGCGAAGGUUGGCUCAGAGCGGUCGGAAAUCGCUCGUUGAGUGCAAUGGCAGAAGCCAGCCUGACUGCGAGACUGACAAGUCGAGCAGAGUCGAAAGACGGCCAUAGUGAUCCGGUGGUCCCGAGUGGAAGGGCCAUCGCUCAACGGAUAAAAGGUACGCCGGGGAUAACAGGCUGAUACUGCCCAAGAGUCCAUAUCGACGGCAGUGUUUGGCACCUCGAUGUCGGCUCAUCUCAUCCUGGGGCUGGAGCAGGUCCCAAGGGUACGGCUGUUCGCCGUUUAAAGAGGUACGUGAGCUGGGUUUAGAACGUCGUGAGACAGUUCGGUCCCUAUCUGCCGUGGGUGUAGGAUACUUGAGAGGAGUUGCCCCUAGUACGAGAGGACCGGGGUGAACGAUCCACUGGUGGACCUGUUGUUGCGCCAGCAGCAGUGCAGGGUAGCUAUGAUCGGACAGGAUAACCGCUGAAGGCAUCUAAGCGGGAAGCCCCCCUCGAAACAAGGUAUCCCUGAGGGCCGUGGUAGACCACCACGUCGAUAGGCCGGAGGUGUAAGCGUGGCGACACGUUCAGCUGACCGGUACUAAUGGCCCGACAGGCUUGAUUUG